rnacentral:tRNA from 1 species
GGGCGAUUAGCUCAGCUGGCUAGAGCAUCUGGAUCACAACCAGGGGGUCGUAGGUUCAAGUCCUACAUCGCCCACCA